UGGUUUUGUCUGAAGUCAAACUUUCUUAAGUUUGACUAAAUUUAUAUAAAAGAUUAUCACUUUUAUGGUACCAAAUAAAUAUACUAUAAAAAUAUAUUUCAUCAUGAAUUUAAUGAUACUUAUUUGGUUUCAUAAAAAAUAGUAUUUUUUUAUAUAAAUUUGGUCAAACUUAAAAAAGUUUGACUUCAGACAAAAUCAA
rnacentral:pre_miRNA from 1 species